ACGGGUGAGUAACGCGUGGGAAUCUACCUAUCUCUAGGGAAUAACUCAGGGAAACUUGUGCUAAUACCCUAUACGUCCGUAAGGAGAAAGAUUUAUCGGAGAUAGAUGAGCCCGCGUUGGAUUAGCUAGUUGGUGGGGUAAAGGCCUACCAAGGCGACGAUCCAUAGCUGGUCUGAGAGGAUGAUCAGCCACACUGGGGACUGAGACACGGCCCAGACUCCUACGGGGAGGCAGCAGUGGGGAAAUAUUGGGACAAUGGGCGCAAGCCYUGAUCCAGCCAUGCCGCGUGGAGUGGAUGAAAGGCCCCUAGGGGUUGGUAAAGCUUCUUUCACCGGGUGGAAAGAUAAUGACGGUUAACCGGGAGAAAGAAGCCCCCGGGCUUAACUUCCGUGCCCAGCCAGCCCGGCGGGUAAUACC
rnacentral:rRNA from 1 species